GCUCUGCCGAUCUGCCGUUUCUCAGCACAACCGCUGUUUCCUUUUUUUUAUGGUGCUCCACGCCGUGAGCGGCGAGAGAAGAGAGUAAUUGGGAGUUAACCCCGAAGCCAACUCCACUUCGGCCCUGGAGAGGACGGAUCUCCCCCGUGUCCUCCGACUACUAUCGGCGGAUAAGAAGCGGGAAUGGUUAACACUAGCGUAUUUGACAAAAUACACAUUAAGAGCAAUGCCGGCUAAUCGAGAGGUUUGGGAGGAUUCCCAGUGGGCUGCAUUACUUUUGGGCCGGCGUCCCGGCUUAUGUGAAAAAGGCGCUUUUAU